GAUGAACGCUGACAGAAUGCUUAACACAUGCAAGUCUACUUGAACUUCGGUUUGGGUGGCGGACGGGUGAGUAACGCGUAAAGAACUUGCCUCACAGUUAGGGACAACAUUUGGAAACGAAUGCUAAUACCUGAUAUUAUGAUUUUAGGGCAUCCUAAGAUUAUGAAAGCUAUAUGCGCUGUGAGAGAGCUUUGCGUCCCAUUAGCUAGUUGGAGAGGUAACGGCUCACCAAGGCGAUGAUGGGUAGCCGGCCUGAGAGGGUGAACGGCCACAAGGGGACUGAGACACGGCCCUUACUCCUACGGGAGGCAGCAGUGGGGAAUAUUGGACAAUGGACCAAAAGUCUGAUCCAGCAAUUCUGUGUGCACGAUGACGUUUUUCGGAAUGUAAAGUGCUUUCAGUUGGGAAGAAAAAAAUGACGGUACCAACAGAAGAAGUGACGGUA
rnacentral:rRNA from 1 species